GCAGAUGCACCUAUUGGUGAAUUUCAUCAGAAGGACACCACGUGGCUGACAAAGGUGCCUUCUAACGAUCAGGGUAGCAUCUGGCAGAUUGUAUGAUACGUCACGCCGGAGUGCAGCUCCUGCAUAUUUAAGAGGCAAGCUGUGCUGUCAAUAUGGGAAAAUUACUGUUUUCAAGAGGUAUCAGUGUCCUGCACUGCUACAUCACCAACAGCCUCAUAUAAUGGGCUCCACAAGAAACAUGUGCACUGAGCUCUGCCUGUCCUUCCCCUGAGCAGCUGUGAAUCUCAGUGUCCUGAGACAGACCUCAGGAGGAGUCCCCUGGAGGAAGCUGUGUUGGAGUAAUGCUGGGACCAUGAGGAGCACAGGCCAGCAUCUUCUCAUCUGGGAAGAGGCAUGAACCCAGAUUAUCAGCAAUCCCUGGAGAUGUGCAUUAAUUAACAGUAGGUUGCUGCCUCGUCCAGCCAAAAUUUAAAAGCAUGAAAUAGGAUGUUUCAUGUCCUAUUUUUAUUUCCCAUAAAAAACAGCUACCGGAGUUUGC